rnacentral:rRNA from 1 species
AGAACGAACGCUGGCGGCGUGGAUAAGACAUGCAAGUCGAACGCGACUUACAGCGAUAGCAAUAUCAUUGUAAGUUGAGUGGCGAAAGGGUGCGUAACACGUGGGAAUUUACCAAAAAGUGGGGAAUAGCUCGACGAAAGUCGAAUUAAUACCGCAUGUGAUCGAAAGAUCAAAGCCGGGGACCGCAAGGCCUGGCGCUUUUUGAGAAGCCCGCGGCCCAUCAGCUAGUUGGCGGGGUAAAAGCCCACCAAGGCUAUGACGGGUAGCUGGUCUGAGAGGACGACCAGCCACACUGGAACUGAGACACGGUCCAGACACCUACGGGUGGCAGCAGUCGAGAAUUUUUCACAAU